UAAGACCUUCGGGGCAGGGUGUAAUUCCCGACCGGCGGUAUUGCCAAUGUGGUUCGCAAGGAACCAGUGGCAGAGCCCGCGAGUCCUCAGGCAUGGAAAUGCCUGGCGUGAUUGAUUCGGUGCAAAUCCGAAGCCGACGGUAUAGUCCGGAUGGGAGAAGGUUUCU
rnacentral:ncRNA from 2 species